rnacentral:rRNA from 1 species
GACGAACGCUGGCGGCGUGCUUAACACAUGCAAGUCGAACGGAAAGGCCCUGCUCUUGUGGGGUGCUCGAGUGGCGAACGGGUGAGUAACACGUGAGUAACCUGCCCUUGUAUUUGGGAUAAAUUCAGGAAACUGGGGCUAAUACCGGAUAGGAGAUCCUGCAGCACGGUGGGGGAUGGAAAGAUUCGGCUGUUGGGGAUGGACUGGCGGCUUCUCAGCUUGUUGGUGGGGUAGUGAAGUACAACGGCUUUGACGGAUAGCCGGCCUGGGAGGGUGACCGGCCACAUUGGGACUGAGAUACGGCCCAGACUCCUACGGGAGGCAGCAGUGGGGAAUAUUGCACAGUGGGCGGAAGCCUGAUGCAGCAACGCCGCGUGCGGGAUGACGGCCUUCGGGUUGUAAACCGCUGUCGCCUGUGACGAAGCGUGAGUGACGGUAAUGGGUAAAGAAGCACCGGCUAACUACGUG